UACAGAGGUCCCAAGCGUUGUUCGGAUUUAUUGGGCGUAAAGGGUGCGUAGGCGGCGGAGUAAGUUGGGUGUGAAAUCCCGGGGCUCAACCUCGGAAUGGCAUUCAAUACUGCUUCGCUUGAGUACUGGAGAGGAGGCUGGAAUUUACGGUGUAGCAGUGAAAUGCGUAGAUAUCGUAAGGAAGGCCGGUGGCGAAAGCGAGCCUCGUGGACAGUUACUGACGCUGAUGACACCGGAAGGCCAAGGGGAGGAUCAAACGGG
rnacentral:rRNA from 1 species